rnacentral:lncRNA from 1 species
AACUGUUACCGACCGUCUCUAGUGCAAGUAAAAAAAGACUUGGUGGUUGAUAUUCGAGAUCCUAAGUUCGAAUACUAAUUUAUUCGUAUUUCCAGCUAAGUUUACUUUUAAAGAAAAUAAACAAAACGAGUGGCAUGCUAUUUUUCUCUCUAAAAAAUAUAUAUAUAUAUAUAUUUGCAACUGUUGCAUGUGUUACGCUUUUAACGUCACCGCCACUGUCGUUGCCCUAUUUUAGAGCCAAAUUUACUCUUUAGGCCGGAAAAAAUACAUUUGGUUGAAUAGGAGAAAAUAAGUCCGGCUAUUAUAUAUUUAUAAGUAUGAUCGUUUUCGAACUCAUAAGUCAUUUUCGAUUAUAAAGAUUUUGAAUCGAUGAUUCACACUGUUAAAUAUAAUUUAGAACUUUUAAAAUUUUUAAAAAUUAAAUUUCACAAUUUUACAUCAUUUACCGUAAGAUCAAAAAAUUUUAAAAUUGACAAUUUUUAACGGCCAAUAUGAAAAAUUUGCUAAUUUAACAGUAUAAAAGAAUCCAAAUUGAAUAAAUUUUUGGAUAAAUUGCAUUGUUACCCCCUGAACUUUUGACGAAAUUUUACAUUACCCUUCGAACUUUUAAAAUGGACAUCUAAUACCCUAAACUCUAAUAUUUCAUUCAUGUUACCCCUUCCGUCAGUUUCCGUCAAGCUCCGUUAACUGAAAACUGACGGAAUGGAUAAAACGAAUAAAAUAUUAGAGUUUAGGAUGUUAGAUGUCUAUUUUAAGAGUUUUGGGGUUAAAUAAAAUUUGAAAUUUAAAAUUUAGAAUUUAAAAUUCAAAUUUUAAAUUUUAAUAUUCAAAAUUUUAAAUUAAAUUUUUAAAAUGACAUAUUGAAAGGAUUUCGAAAGUUAGAGAGGUAAAAUUAUCAUUUUACAUAAUAUGUAGUAUUUUCGGUUUUUAGUAACGCAAGAUACACAACUCCCCUCUCGUUAAUAUUUUCGGUGUAGUCCUACUCGAUUUGUAAUGCUACAUUAACCACUAAAUUACAUAGCGGAUGAACCAAACACAGUAAUCCUGACAGGAUUGCCUGUAAUUAAUCCUGACAAGAUAACUCGAACCAAACGGGCCCUAAGUAACAUAUUAUAAUAAAAUAAUUAUAGUCAAGAGUCCUACGGGGUAAAUUGCAUUGCUACCUCCUGAACUUUUGGCGAGUUUCACUUAAUCCCCCAAACUCCUAAAAUAGACAUCUAACACCCUAAACUCUAAUAUUUCAUUCGUUUUACCCCUUCCGUCAGUUUCCGGUUAACGGAGCUUGACGGAAAACUGACGGAAGGGGUAACAUGAACGAAAUAUUAGAGUUUAAAGUGUUAGAUGUCCAUUUUAGGAGUUCGAGAGGUAAAGUGAAACUUCGCCAAAAGUUCAGGGGGUAACAAUGCAAUUUACCCAUAAAUUUUUUAUAGAAAAUUAUAUUCACUAAUUAAAUAAAGAUCAAUAAUUUUGAUCUUAAAUUGAAAAAUUCGAUCAUUUAUUUUUAGGAGAUCAUUCAAUUUUGACCGUUCAUUUUAUGUCCGUUUGAUGAACUUUAAUAUAAUUUCAAAAAAUUAUGAAAUUUAUAUUUAGAAGUUUCAAAUGCUCUAUAGAUCAUAUUUAACGGUGUGAAUUAUCAAUUUAGAAGUUUCAUCAUAAAAAACAACAUAUGAGUGCAAAAAGUUCUAUACUCAUAAGAAUAUAGUUGUCCUACUCGUAGAAAAAUAUAUUUGAAAUGGAAAAAUAGAUUUUAUAGAAAUACAACUGUUCAUAAUUGUUAACUAAGGCUUAGUUUGGUAUUGAGGGAUAAAAUGGAGUUAGGAAAAAAAGUACAUAGGAAUAUACUUCUACAUUCUCCAGUGGGACCGCAGAAAAUAUAUCAUAACUAGCUCAUCACAAUUUGCGGAACGUAAUAUUAUGUACGGAAACAAAUAAGAUAUUUUUUCAUCGUAAUUACUACAUUCUCACCGCACGUAAUACAAUCUCCCCGCAAUUCCAAACGAAGCCUAACAAAAUAUAACUUUAGAGGUAUAUUUGAAAGAUAUUGGAGCAUUAAAAAUAUAUUUUUUAUAUUAGUUUUCAAAAAAUAAUAAAUAAGAAAGUCUGAAAUUUUUCAGAGAUGGACAAGUAGUAGUCCCUAAAAAAAAAAAAAAAAAAAAAAAAAAAA